rnacentral:rRNA from 1 species
UACGUAGGGUGCGAGCGUUGUCCGGAAUUAUUGGGCGUAAAGAGCUCGUAGGCGGUGUGUCACGUCGGCCGUGAAAACCUGGGGCUUAACUCUGGGCGUGCGGUCGAUACGGGCAUCACUAGAGUUCGGCAGGGGAGACUGGAAUUCCUGGUGUAGCGGUGAAAUGCGCAGAUAUCAGGAGGAACACCGGUGGCGAAGGCGGGUCUCUGGGCCGAUACUGACGCUGAGGUGCGAAAGCGUGGGGAGCAAACAGG